rnacentral:rRNA from 1 species
UACGUAGGGGGCUAGCGUUAAUCGGAAUUACUGGGGCGUAAAGCGUGCGCAGGCGGUUUGCUAAGACAGGUGUGAAAUCCCCGGGCUUAACCUGGGAACUGCGCUUGUGACUGGCAGGCUAGAGUACGGUAGAGGGGGGUGGAAUUCCUGGUGUAGCAGUGAAAUGCGUAGAUAUCAGGAGGAACACCGAUGGCGAAGGCAGCCCCCUGGGCCUGUAUUGACGCUCAUGCACGAAAGCGUGGGGAGCAAACAGGAUUAGAUACCCCGGUAGUCCCU